GACGAACGCUGGCGGCGUGCCUAACACAUGCAAGUCGAACGGGGUUACGGGAGCUUGCUCCUGUAACUUAGUGGUGAACGGGUGAGUAACGCGUGAGGAACCUGCCUUUCAGUGGGGGACAACAGUUGGAAACGACUGCUAAUACCGCAUAAUGUAUCUGGACCGCAUGGUCUGGAUACCAAAGCUUUAUGUGCUGAAAGAUGGCCUCGCGUCUGAUUAGAUAGUUGGUGGGGUAACGGCCCACCAAGUCGACGAUCAGUAGCCGGUCUGAGAGGAUGACCGGCCAAAUUGGGACUGAGAUACGGCCCAGACUCCUACGGGAGGCAGCAGUGGGGAAUAUUGGGCAAUGGGGGAAACCCUGACCCAGCAACGCCGCGUGAAGGAAGAAGGCCCUCGGGUUGUAAACUUCUUUUAGCAGGGACGAAGGACGUGACGGUACCUGCAGAAAAAGCAACGGCUAACUACGUGCCAGCCGCCGCCGUAAUAC
rnacentral:rRNA from 1 species